rnacentral:rRNA from 1 species
GUCGCGAAUUUUUCACAAUGGGCGCAAGCCUGAUGGAGCCACGCCGCGUGGGGGAUGAAGGCCCUCUGGGUUGUAAACCUCUGUCGAGUGGGGGGAACCGCUUCCGGUGAAUAGCUGGAAGUCUGACUGCCCGCUGAAGGAAGCCCCGGCAAAACAUGUGCCAGCAGCCGCGGUAAUACAUGUGGGGCAAGCGUUGUUCGGAAUCACUGGGCAUAAAGGGUGCGUAGGCGGCCCGGUCAGUCAGUGGUGAAAUCCUGCGGCCCAACCGUAGAACUGCCAUUGAUACUGCCGAGCUUGAGUGCGUGAGGGGUAGCUGGAACGAGUGGUGUAGCGGUGAAAUGCGUAGAUAUCACUCGGAAGGCCAAUGCCGAAGGGAGGCUACUGGCACGCAACUGACGCUGAGGCACGAAAGCGUGGGGAGCAAACAGGAUUAGAAACCCGGGUAGUCC